ACUGCCACCCUUGGGCCACACCUCAGAACGAGGCUUUCAAACCACAGGCCGCGUCCCCUUGCGGUCCCAGGAAGUCAACGUAGCUGAUGCUCGCCAGCAUUCAAAACAAAAAUGCAAAAACAGCGAACAAGCUAACACCAAUGACUAACGAGAAACAGAACAGGAACGACCAGACUCUCCUGCGUGAUUGGAGGCCCUUAUCUGGACUGGGAAGAACAGAACAGAUCCUAGCAUGGAGCUCUGUGGAGUAUGUGCUCGAGAAACGGGAAGGACCCGAGCCCUCACGACAAGGUGAGUAGACGGUGGAGCCAGAUGAAACCCAGGCCAUGCGAUUCCUAAGCAUAACCUCUACCCGUGGAUGUAUUCAGAAGACGGAACAACGGAGCAGCACAAGUUCGUUAAGCUAAACAGACCUGAUAGAAGGCUGGCCCUUCCUGCUACUGAGGAAUCCCAUGGACUAUGAAUACAGCCACCAAAGAACUAAUAGUUGCUAAUUAUCUCCCUCCACUGGCUUUCCUGGUAACCAUUUUUAACUCAGGGUUUCCCUGAUGGGGUAGGAAGCAGUCUGCGGUGGUUUACCAGAGAAGCCCUCGAAUGCCCUCUCACUUGAUAGGCAAAACCCAACCCUAUCUUUGUCCCACGGGUUUCAGGAGCCCCAACGGUGAUAAACGAAGCAACAUGGCGGCGGUGCAGGGGGAAGGUUGGGACGCAGAGGACUCUGGGAGAGACACAAAACGGAUGCUUACAGGACGCGGAUAUGUAGGGGUUUAGGAUGUUGAAGGAGUUCUCAAUUCUGGCUACAGGUUAGAAUCCCCUGGAAAGUUUUUUGGUUUUGUUUUUUUAAGUUUAUUUAUUUAUUUUGAGGUGGGGGGAGGGGUAAAGAGAGAGGGACAGAGAGAAUCCCAAGCAGGUUCUGUGCUGCCAGCUCAGAGCCCGAUGCGGGGCUUGAACACACGAACUGUGAGAUCAUGACUGAGCCGAAAUCAAGAGCUGGAUGCUUAACUGACUGAGCCACCCGGGCAUGCCCACCCCCCCCCCUUUUUUUUUUUAAGUUUUAUUUCUUUAUUUUGAGACAGAGACAGAGAAUCACCUAGAGAGCUUUGUAAAAGCACCGAUGCCUGGGCCGGGCCCCACCCUUCGAGUUUGAUGUUCAGCUGGUCUGGGGAAGGCCCAGGGCAUUGGGAUACUUCUCAAGGUUCCCAAGUGAUUCCAAGGGACAUUGAGGGUUGAGAAGAGGACUACUGCGCUAGGCUAGGAUUUCUCCGCCACAGUGCUGGUGGUAGUUGGGGGCCAGAUCGUCCUGUGUGCUGUAGAAUGUUUAGCAGCAUCCCUGGGCUCUACCCGCUAGAGGCCAGUGACAUCCCCUCCUCCCAGCGAGACAACCAAAAACGUCGGCAGAUAUUACCAAAUGUGAAAUGUCCCCCAAGGGACCAAAUCGCCGCCCCCACCCCACAUCGAAAAUCGCGGUCUUGGCACAGUUCGCUGGGGACUCCACAGGGGGUAUGGUUGGGGGGUGUGGUUGGAAGUUCAGCUCUCUGAAAUAAAAAUCUAAGGAUUGAAAGACCUGCUCAAUGUCCCAUCCUCGGCCUAGAGGUGGGGCCAGUGGUGACUCCAUAACUCUACACUGAAAUGCCUUUCCUCUUGAUUAUAGACGUACAAACUAAAUUGGCCCCGUAAUGAUUUGUGGUCUAUAUACUGAAUACAUAAGCCCAGAGUCAAAAUUGUUUAUCUGACACUAAAGAUCUGUCUCUGAAAGAAACAGAAGACAAAUCAUUCUCUCUCUAAUCGCACUAUGUGUUCCCAGAGGCAGGCCACCUCCCCUCCAUUCCCUGCUGCUGCUGCUGGGAAAACUGUCCAGCUGUAGGCACUCCGACAUCGUUGUCACUAGCCAGUAGUCACAUGUGGCUUGUUCGGUUGAGGCUUACAUUCAUAUAAAUGAAAUAAAAAUAAAAGUUCAGUUUCUCAGUCAUACCAGCCACAUUUCGGUUGCUCAAUAGUCAGGCAUGGCUAGCGGCUACAAGAUCUUAAUCCAGAUAUAGAACAUUCUCAUGUAUCAACGCAGGAAGUUCUAUUGCACGGCACUGUUUGACCAUAGAGCUUACGGUGAAGUUCUCAUGUUUACACGUCUCUGUGACACGUCUCUACAAACAACCGAUGCGUUCUCUGUUGCCCUGUGUAACUUGAAUACCUAGCACACCCUUGUCACCUUUCAUCUUAAGGCAUCGUCCGUAAGUGUGUUUCCUGUGCCUAACGCAGAGCUCCUGAAGGUCAAGGAGCAAGGCUUCAGUCCUCUUUGCAUCACCAAAGGCUGGCACGAUGUAGGCGCCCACAUCGAGAGCGAAAUAAUUAAUCAACUAGCUAAUGAAUGAAGGCGGCUUGACAGACACAUUUAACACCACAGAAGGUCCACCACCCACACCUCUGAAACUGACGGCACGUCUCUGGACUAAGGACAUCUGCCUUUUCUUUUCUGAGCAGAAUGAGCAUAUCUGGUGGCCUGCCAGGGCUGUUUGCUGGCCCAGAAGAGACAUCCGUAGUCACAAAGAGGAAGACAGAAAAGAAAGAGGACAUUUCGUUUUCCCCUAUGAGGAUUUCAUCUCUUCUAUCAGGUAAACAGAACUAUCUCAAGAGGAGGAACAUUUAAAUAGUAAAACAAAACAAAAACAACAACAAAGGAUCCGCUCAGUCGUAUCCUACGCUUCCUUCCUUUUUCCUCGGCACCUGACACGGUGUCCAGCAUGCAGCUGGUGCUCAGUUCACUCACCUCCUCCAGGAAGCCUUCCUUGACUUCUCUCAGCUGGUUUUACCCCUCUUAGGUGAUCUGGAAAUACCAGGUACACCUGCUUCAUCAUGUACGGGCCACACUGUAUUACAUACUAUCUCUUUAACGUCGCUAUGCUUUUCCCGAGGUCAGAAACUAUAUCUUACUGUUCUUUGAGUUUUCAUGGCCUAUUUGAGUAUGUGGCACCGCGAUAAAUCUUUGAUAGAUAAAUAAACCUUGGGCGGUGGGCAAUCCAGGUUUUAAAGAACAGCACUGUUUCUUUGCAAAAGUUAACAGUAUUAGGAAUUUUUAGAAUUUGGAAUGAGGAGUGGGGAAAAAGUUAUGGCUGUGAAUUUCUUUGGAUUAAAAAAAAAACCAAACAAACUCUUUGGCGUUGCUUGGCCUGAAUAAAGCCACAAUAAUCAUUAACUAAUUCUGGAAAGCCGAGACAAUUCUAGCAAAAGAAUCCUUGCCAGGUUCCCUUUAAACCUGUUGAUUUCGAUCCAAUGAAUAAACAUUGAAGACGCAGGGUGAGCCAAGAGAGAAAAAAGAAAAUUCUCCUGCCGCUUAACAUUUCCUGAUUCUAUGACCUUAUGAUUCCGAGCGCCUACAUGAGGUAUUUUUAAACCUUGGCAGUCACGUGGGGCAGAUUUACAGGAAGAACAGAUUUGCAGAGCUUGCGUGGAUUUUUCUCGUCAAAGUUGCGCUGCAAACCGGUGCCACUGGGUCAUUUGCAGAUUCAGGCCACUGGUUUAUGGCUUCACCCCGGGAGUGGACUGGGCAGUCAGGCACCCCCCGGGCAGCUCUCAAGGUGCGAGUUCUUUCUGUUGAACGUUCUGUCCACUCUUCUAGCAGCCAGAUGGUUCAUUGCCCUUCCUUAAGCGCAGGCACAUUCGCAGAAAAGGUGUGAGGAAGGGCCCUGGAGAGCAGAGCCUCUGCUGAGCCCAUGCUGUCCAGAAGUUGGGAUUGUUGCAAGCCUUUUCAGCCACACAAAACCCUGGGUUUCUUCAUUAACAUAUCAGAGGUGGCGCAGUGGUGGGAACUGACAGGGGCAACAAAGGACAGGGCUCGGUGGCAUUAUCUCAUUGGUGCUUACGGAAGCAGAAAAAACGAUCAUCGGGCCGGGGCUGCAGUGAUGGACAGAUGCUGACAUCUUUUCUUGGGUGACCAAUGUCUCCGCGGCCCGCCCCCUCCCUCCACCUGCUCCGUACUCAACAUUGCCCUUCCCCCUCCGAAGGCGCAGUUCCCAGACCCUGUACAAGGAAGAGCCGCGUCCCAAUCCAAACCUCUCUCUGGCUGAAAUGAAGACUUCUUUGGUUCGAAAUGUCAGUAGCGCUGAGGCUGAGAAGCUCUGCUCUGUGGCCUUCUUUGUGAAUACACUUUACAAAUUCUUAUCAAGACUAAUUGCUCCUGACAAAUGGGCACCUUGAGGGACUCGCGUUCCCAUGCUCGCUGUAUGAAUUUAGAAUAUGGAACCGUUUUUGACAAAGAAACAGGACCUACAUGAUGAUUUCUCAUCUUUGGCUGUAUCAUUGGAAGAUUUCAUCGAAGCAGUGGGUGUAAAAUUUUAGAAAAUUGAGCACAGAGGGGUGAAAAUUUUCCUUUAUGCUCAGCUGAGUCUUAAAUAUACUCCAAAUGGCAUGAAAUCUGAUUAAAGGAUCCUUCCUCCUCACUUGGAAAUAUUUAUAACCUCUUAGAA